rnacentral:rRNA from 1 species
AUUGAACGCUGGCGUCAGGCCUAACACAUGCAAGUCGCGCUGAGCGGCUGACGGGUGAGUAAUGCGUAGGAAUCUGCCUGGUAGUGGGGGAUAACGUCCGGAAACGGGCGCUACUACCGCAUACUAUCAGAUGAGCAUAGGUCGGAUUAGCUAGUUGGUGGGUGAAAGGCCUACCAAGGAUACGAUCCGUAAAUUGUCUGAGAGGAUGAUCAGUCACACUGGAAGGGAGAUAGGGUCCAGUCUCCUACGGGAGGGAGGAGUGGGGAAUAUGCGACUAUGGGCGAAAACCUGACCCAGCCAUGCGGAGUGUGUGAAGAAGGUCUUCGGAGUGCAAAGCACUUUAAGCUGGGAGGCGUGACCAACAGAAUAAGCUCCGGCUUACUUCGUGCCAGCCGCCGCGGUAAUAC